rnacentral:misc_RNA from 1 species
ACGAGUUAGGGUCCUCUAGGCCCGACCUCCCAACCCUUGCUUACCGAACCUCUGUUGCUUCGGCGGGCCCGUCUCACGACCGCCGGAGGAACCGCCGCAGGGCGUGUCCUCUAGCCCGUGUCCGCCGAUAGCCAACUACAAAACUCUGUAUAAAUCAUGUCUCAUGUCUAAGUCAAAUGAAUUAAAAGCA